rnacentral:rRNA from 1 species
CAAUAGCGUAUAUUAAAGUUGUUGCGGUUAAAAAAGCUCGUAGUUGGAUUUCUGUUGAGAGCGGCCGGUCCACCUUUUGGGUGAGUAUCUGGAUUGGUCUCGGCAUCCUCACAACGAAUGUUUCUGCGCUUGAUUGCGUGGUAUAGGCGUUGUGACUUUUACUUUGAGGAAAUUAGAGUGUUCACGGCAGGCAUACGCCUUGAAUAUAUUAGCAUGGAAUAAUAAUAUAGGAUCGCGAUUCUAUUUUGUUGGUUUCUAGAAUCACGAUAAUGAUUAAUAGGGAUAAUUGGGGCGAUUUGUAUUAACGCGUCAGAGGUGGAAUUCUUGGAUGCGUUACGACAAACUACUGCGAAAGCAUUUGCCAAGGAUGUUUUCAUU